ACGACAUUAGCUCAGUGGGUAAAGCGGAGGACGGUGGAUCCUUAGGUUGCUGUUCGAAUCCCCGCCGGUCGGA